AGAUUGAACGCUGGCGGCGUGCUUAACACAUGCAAGUCGAGCGGUUACAGGUGUAGCAAUACAUGCUGACGAGCGGCGAACGGGUGAGUAAUGCUUUGGAAUCUACCUUUUAGUGGGGAAUAACCUGGGGAAACUCAGGCUAAUACCGCAUACGACCUACGGGUGAAAGCGGGGGAUCGCAAGACCUCGCGCUAAGAGAUGAGCCAAAGUCGGAUUAGCUAGUUGGUGAGGUAAAGGCUCACCAAGGCGACGAUCCGUAGCUGGUCUGAGAGGACGACCAGCCACACUGGAACUGAGACACGGUCCAGACUCCUACGGGAGGCAGCAGUGGGGAAUAUUGGACAAGUGGGGGACAACCCGUG
rnacentral:rRNA from 1 species